rnacentral:rRNA from 1 species
GCAGGUCAUAGUGAUCCGGUGGUUCUGAAUGGAAGGGCCAUCGCUCAACGGAUAAAAGGUACUCCGGGGAUAACAGGCUGAUACCGCCCAAGAGUUCAUAUCGACGGCGGGGUUUGGCACCUCGAUGUCGGCUCAUCACAUCCUGGGGCUGAAGUAGGUCCCAAGGGUAUGGCUGUUCGCCAUUUAAAGUGGUACGCGAGCUGGGUUUAGAACGUCGUGAG